rnacentral:rRNA from 1 species
AUGGUGCCGGUCUUGUCGAACGCCACGGCCCUGAUCUCGCCCAGCGACUCGAGGACGUCCCCUCCCUUGACGAGGACCCCCAUCCGCGCCGCCGUCAGGAGCGCGCAGAACGUCGCGACGGGCGUCGACAGCACCAGCGCGCACGGGCACGCGCUCACCAGCAGCACCAGCGCCAGCCUGAACCACCGCUCCGCGUCGCGCGCCCCCAGCAGCGGCGGCAGCAGCGCCACCCCUGCUCCGAGAACCACCACGGCCGGCGUGUAG